rnacentral:rRNA from 1 species
UCGGGGUUAAGUAGAGUGGCGAACGGGUUAGUAACGCGUGGGAACAUACACAGCACAGGGGGAUAACCAUUGGAAACGAUGGCUAAUACCGCAUACGCCCUAUUGGGGAAAGAUUUAUCGGUGUUGGAUUGGCCCGCGUUAGAUUAGCUAGUUGGUGGGGUAAUGGCUCACCAAGGCGACGAUUUAUAGCUGGUUUGAGAGGAUGAUCAGCAACACUGGAACUGAGACACGGUCCAGACUCCUACGGGAGGCAGCAGUCGGGAAUAUUGUGCAAUGGGGGCAACCCUGACACAGCCAUGCCGCGUGAGUGAAGAAGGCCUUAGGGUUGUAAAGCUCUUUCAGAUGUGAGGAUGAUGACGAUAGCAUCAGAAGAAGCUCCGGCUAACUUCGUGCCAGCAGCCGCGGUAAUACGAAGGGAGCUAGCGUUGUUCGGAAUUACUGGGCGUAAAGGGCGUGUAGGCGGAUUAUCAAGUUAGGGGUGAAAUCCCGGGGCUCAACCUCGGCACUGCCUUUAAGACUGAUAAUCUAAAGUAUGUGAGGGGAUAAUG